ACUGCCUCAUGGGACCCCGGCUUCUAGAUGCUGUCGCUGUGGCCAGUCCACCGCUGCCAGCAAGCUCCCUGGACCAGCCCUGUCUCACUGGCCACAGGCUGAAGACUCAAGGCCCUGAGAGGGCAUCUGAGAGCAAUGACCUGGUCUUUUCAGCUCACUUGAUGGCAGGUUUCCCAAACACAGGAGGGAGACUCAGCUGCACUGAGGAAUAAAUAUAUUACAGGCUCUCUGAGGAGUGGAAGACUAUACAGCUGUGCAAAAGGACUUCAGGGACCCCUCGUGUGCUGACGUGAAAGAGAUGCAAGACACACCAUCAACUUGGACAAAUGUGGAACAAUCGUGCAUUGAAUACUCACUGUUGUCUAUUGAGUCUCCGUUUCCCACGUGUUCUUUCCCCAAAUGACCCAGAGGUUCCUUUGGGACCUAACCCCCACCCCCUCCACUGGGCAGCAGCCCCGGGUGACCCCUGGGAGGGGCCCAGGGGAGCCCCAGUUACGGGUUUGGGGUGCGCAUGGUUGGGGGUGAGGAGCUUGUGGCCCAUGUUGAUGCUUCUGUUGGGGGAGGGGAUUUGUGGGCAACUUUCCCCCCUGAGGACACUGGUGUAUCCUUUGGGCAAGGAGAGGUUUUUGUUUGUUUGUUUUCUUGUAAUUUAUUCAAUUUACUUUUUCAUGGAGGUGAAAAUGUCACAUAAUGAAGUCUUUUUAAAAAGCCGUUUCCCCCUGCUCAGGCCCUCAGCCUCUAGGUUAUGGCCACAGCCUCACACAAAGCAGCUCAGACCUCCUGAAAUGGCCAGAAUUCAGGAGGACUGGUUGGUGCCUCACCCAUGUGGCCCUGGGUGAAGGUGGUAGGCCCCGGGGCCUCAGGGAGCGCUGGACAGGAAAGGUCUGAUGUGGCAGCAGCUGAUGUGCCGAAGGAAUGUCGCUGGUGGGGACGCCAGGAGCUCAGAGCCAAGCAUGUGGUCGUUGCAAAAUGUCAGGGAAAGAAUGCAGAGCCCUUCUCCCAGCUCCCUGGUCCCCACACAGUCGCUGCCCGAGUGCCAGUCCGAUCCGUCUGCACAGAUGCCCGCACCAGAUAUAUGCGUUCAGGCUGUCAGGACAGGAGGCUCUCCUGGAGGCUCCUCCAGGCUGAGCCAGGGUCUCUGCCUGCAGGAGACAAGCACGUGACCGGCAGAGAUGGCAGAGACAGAGAAAGAAGGACCCACACACCCGGAGAGAGGAGCAGUUGGAACCGGUUUGGAGGAAUCAUGGGGAGCCGGCUGCAGGCUGUGAUCUAAAGAGAGAAAAGGUACUGUUCUAUCACCGUCUCUUGUUUUCAAAGCCCAAACACAGAACACGCAUCUCAACUGAGCUCCCCACAGCAUGACUCUGGGGAAAGAGGUGAGGAGAAAAGCAAGUAGAUGCCUGGUGACUGGAGUGGCUGGGCCAUGGAGGUGGGCCUUGGCAGAUGGUGUAGAGAGACUGAGGAGAGCCUUCAUGAGAAACUGGGGUGUGGUGGGGAUGAGGCGAGCCUGGGUGCUUUUACGCUAUCAGCACAUUUCAUGGCAAUAAACUUGGCCUCGUUGCUAUAAAAACCUUCAGCUCAAGACACACAGCCUUUCUUGUUUUCUUUAUUGAAGGUUAACUUUUCACAAGUUAAAUUUCCUCCUACUCAUCCAGCCUCAUCAAGGAGCUUUGGCACAUAGAGCUUUGCUGAGCGUGAUAAAAGAAAGGCUCAAAAAAAAAAAAAAAAAAAAAAAAAAAAAAAAAAGACGAGCAUUCCGAGUGUGUUUCUGGGAAAAGCAUGUUCAGCCAACUCACUCUGUAGCCUUCCGUUCGCCUGCUCGGCUCCCAGACUCAGGCCCACCCUCAAGUGUGUGGGCAGCAGGGUCUGCCCCACCCCUGCUCGGGGCCACAGAACUUAACUUCAGAGCAGCUGGUUGGAGCCCAGUCCGAAGGCUGAUCCCAGAAUGGUGGUUCCCAGUCUGCCCCUUCUGUGAGAAACGAGCAAAACAAGGAAGAUGUCUCAAUCUUUUCAGAGUGGGAUCUCUGCAGCUGAUGCGGCUGGCUCUUGUUGAGACAUUGGGUCUCUGUGCGGUUUGCUUUCCCCAGCGAAUCAAAGACAACCCCAGUGCUCACUUCAGCAGGACACAUACUACAAUUGGAAUAAUACAGAGAUUAGCACAACUCCCGAUAAUUCCCUUAAUGGGAGGGGCUGCCCUUGCACUAAGGAGGACACACAUGUUCUUGACGCCUUCCCUGGUGGCUCAGAAGCAUGCAUGCAGGAUCUUAGUUUCCUGAUUGGGGAUCAAACCCACGACCCCUGCAGUGGAAGCUUGGAGUCUUAACCACUAGACCAUCGGGGAAGUCCCUGCAUUUUCUAUAUGAAUAAAAUCAUCUUUGCAAAAAGGA